CGCAGCCAGCUGCUGGGAGUUUGUGACAGCAAAGCUCUGUCUGGUUUCCUAUCAGCCUCGUGGUCACCCAGAUGCCAGUGUUUGGACUCCCAAGCUGCAGACAUCACUUCCUAUAAUAGCCUCACAGUCAAAAGGGACAGGUUCCACCCAGAAUUGUGGCGUAACUGGCAAGAAUGUCAGCCCUGACUGAGUCAAGGAAACUGACAAGAUGGCACUGCCUGGAACACAGGAGACAGUCUGUAAUGCGUUUUCAGUGCCACAGUCCCUGCCCUCAAGGGGCUCACAGCUCGGUGGACAAGGCAGAAACGUCAACAAGCAGAUGCAGAAUGGGCCAGAAGCAAUCCUACCACAGGAGGGAGGGAAGGGCCUCGUGGAGGAGCUGACCCUGCAGCUGAACUGAAAGACUGAGGCUACGGAGGCCAUAAAGGAGGAAUAAAGGCAAGAAGAUCAUCCUGAAGCAAAGACGCCUGGACAUGGGCACCUGGAGGCAGAGUUCAAGGCAAAUCUAAAGCAAAGCAGCCUCAGGCCUGACUCUAAGCCUUUUUCUGUACUGUUAGUAGACUCCUAGAGGCCAAUAGUGAUCUGUUCUUUCUCUGUCUCUUUCUGUGUGUGUGUCUCUCUCUCUGUCCUUCCCUGUCUCUCUUUCUCUUUCUCUUCUCUCUCUGUCUCUCUGUCUCUCUUCCUCUCUCAUGCACACGCACACACACAUACACACACACACACACACACACACACACACACACACACCAUCCAGCACAAAGUCACAACCUAUACUCUCUUGCCGACCAAUACCUUCCUACCUCUCUGAUCCACUUUUCUGUGUUCUGUUUUCUUUUCUUUCUAUGCCUGGAUUUACUUCCUCCAGCUGAAGCAAGUAGUUGAGGAAUUUAGCAGCAAGAGAUUCACAGA